rnacentral:rRNA from 1 species
GACGAACGCUGGCGGCGUGCUUAACACAUGCAAGUCGAGCGGUAAGGCCCUUUCGGGGUACGACGAGCGGCGAACGGGUGAGUAACACGUGGGUGACCUGCCCUCAGCUCUGGGAUAAGCCUGGGAAACCGGGUCUAAUACUGGAUAUGACUCCACGACGCAUGUUGUGGGGUGGAAAGCCUUGUGCGGCUGAGGAUGGGCCCGCGGCCUAUCAGCUUGUUGGUGGGGUGAUGGCCUACCAAGGCGACGACGGGUAGCCGGCCUGAGAGGGCGACCGGCCACACUGGGACUGAGACACGGCCCAGACUCCUACGGGAGGCAGCAGUGGGGAAUCUUGCGCAAUGGGCGAAAGCCUGACGCAGCGACGCCGCGUGAGGGA